CCUACGGGAGGCUGCAGUGGGGAAUAUUGGACAAUGGGGGCAACCCUGAUCCAGCCAUGCCGCGUGUGUGAAGAAGGCCCUCGGGUUGUAAAGCACUUUCAGUGAGGAAGAACGCCUGGUGGUUAAUACCCAUCAGGAAAGACAUCACCCACAGAAGAAGCACCGGCUAACUCCGUGCCAGCAGCCGCGGUAAUACGGAGGGUGCGAGCGUUAAUCGGAAUUACUGGGCGUAAAGCGCGCGUAGGUGGCUUGAUAAGCCGGUUGUGAAAGCCCCGGGCUCAACCUGGGAACGGCAUCCGGAACUGUCAAGCUAGAGUGCAGGAGAGGAAGGUAGAAUUCCCGGUGUAGCGGUGAAAUGCGUAGAGAUCGGGAGGAAUACCAGUGGCGAAGGCGGCCUUCUGGACUGACACUGACACUGAGGUGCGAAAGCGUGGGUAGCAAACAGGAUUAGAUACCCCUGUAGUC
rnacentral:rRNA from 1 species